ensembl:lncRNA
AUACUUGAUGUGCAUGUAAGCUAUUGAAAUAGAGUAUAUAGUACUGUGUUGAAGUUGUGUUCCCCUUUUAUUGAAUGUGUUCUUGAGUAUCUGUUAUGUGCCAUGACUUACAUUUCUAAUGUCACAACUACAAUCCACCAGGAGCUUUGGCAGUCAUGCCUUUUCUGGUCAAAUCAUAAUUUUUUAUCAAUCUGCCAUGUUUACAGUUAAAGCAGUGCCUUGGAGCUGGGAAGGUGAAAGAUUUAUUGAUUGGUUAUGACCCCCCCCCCCACACACACACACACACACACACAUAAUAACACUAAAGCCAACACACCAAUGAUAGACUUUUCGCACCACGUACUAUACAUGGCCUAAAAAUGAUUAUUGGAUAAUAAUCCAUGCAGGACAGUGAAAUUAUUACAUGUCCAAAUAAUCCAGUGAAAAGGAUCUUCUCUCGGGGGGAGCGAGCACAGUGAAAAGCCAUACUUAUGAAACGUGUUUGUAGAGAAACGAGUCAAAUUCAACUGUGUGUAAUGUCUGCUCAGAAAAUGUAGGUUCUUCCAGCGAAGACGACCGAAGCGCUUAUUCUUAGAUGAUGUUGAUUGCGUAAUCUUGUAGUGAGGAAAGUAGCUUGAUAUAUUCUAAAAAGCCUAUUUUAUGAAAUGUGUAAAUUAGUCUAUAUUGAGAAAUCAAAGUGAAUGUACAUCUAUGAGACAGAUUUGUAUUUAUAUGAACAUGUGUACUUCUCUAAUCAUAAGCACAACGUAUUUUACGGCGGAUAUCAAAGCUAUAAUUAGGUGUGACAGAGAGAUGGUGUUUUGUUUUCUCACAUGUAGAAAUGAGGUUGUUUGUUGUUGGCAGCAGGGUGAAUGCUCGAGGUGACUCACAGGUUACCGUCCGGCCUCCGAGGGGAAGGCGACGGGCUGAAGCUGCGUUCACGUGGUGCGUUCGGGGUGUGACGCAGUCGUUCACUGUUCGCUUUGGUAUUGAAUCACAAAAAGGCAGCAUUUAGAAAGUCAGAAGCGUUUAGUUAACAAAUUACACACAAGAAAACUGAUCAGUUAUCAUUUCUUGACUACUUGAUUUGGAAUUCAUUUUGUUACCAGGUGUCCUUCAAAAGGAACUCACUGAUCUUACACAUCAGAGUCUGUUUACAGGAAGUACUACUGCUUAUGUGGAAGAGUUUGGAUUUGGGAAGAAAUUAACUCCUCAGCCACUACUUGCACAACGUAACCCAAUGUCUGAGCAACUGUGUGCAGUGGCAGUGCAUUGUUGAUCAUUUAGGAAUUUUAUUUUAGCGAAGCAAGAGCGGUGUCCUGCAUCCAUUUCUGUACAUUAUUUUUUUUCUGUGAUAUAUUCCAAAAUUAAAUUUGUGUUUGUAAUUCAGAAGUGGUUCCCACACACUAAACCCAGAGUGACGUUCAGACAUUUCAUGUUUGCAACAUCUCAGGCGUUGCCUGGCAACAUCACUCAGUGCACUUCAGUGUACCAAUGAAAUGGAAACAGACUGGUGUGUAAAAUCAGUGUAGAAUUGCCUGAUAUCAAGUUUAUUUGAAUUACUUUUUAUGUAUUUCUACCUUUUUUGCUUUGGUGUACAAGCUCAGUGAGGCACACCAAACUAAUUCAUUUUCUGUUUAAGAUUUUCUUAAGAUAAAGAAAAAUACCAUAGCAACAUAUUAAAUUCUUCUCCAUUGUCUGAUUAAAAGCUCUUGCUCGAUUUCAUGUGUCUCAGCAAUGCUGUGAAGUUGUGAUGAACAUCAACUCGUCGUUCUUAGGUGAGGUAAUAGGCAGUCACCAUUUUGUUUCUGGCAGUCGCUUCAAAUGGUGAACUUGUCCUAUUUCGUGCACCAGCGUUUCAAUUUGUAACACAGCUCUUGUUACAAUACCUCUUACACAAAAGAACCUCCCAACUGAGUGAGUGUCUUUCUGAGCAUGAGCACGGACGGAUUCGAUGGCUAAAUUCAUGGAACAGCACCAGGAUUCAGAAAGAUUGCAAGGGUUGCAGCUGGAGCCCUCGGAUGACAUUUCUUUUAAUAAGCAAUAUAAGCAUUUAAAAAAAAAAAAAAAAUCCGAACCGUGUCCCUCUCCAUGCGGCCGACAGGCAGCGCUUCUUCAGUGGCCUUUGGCGGACUGAAUGUGGGCUGGUUUGUGCGCGGCUUGUUGUUCAGUACUUGGUACUAAAAGAAAUGCUCCUCCUUCUUGCUUCGCUAUGAUGAAAUACGAGGAACUGCCUUCAGUGAACUCAAGUACCGAUAGUUAAUAUUGUGAUGAGGCCCUCCAUAUAUCUUUUUAUUUGUUAUGGUUAACGUAUGAAUGGAUUAGCAGCUGGGAGUGAGGCCGAUCAAACUGGAGCUCUAAAACCAUGUGGAUUCUUGGACAGAACGACAAUCUAUUAUUUUUUUCAAUAACUUUUUUUUUUUCUUUUUCUUUUCGUAAGACUUUAAACAUGUUUGCAAUGUUGUAGUGUGCGCGCGUCUGUUACUUGUGAGAGAAUAACUCCAGAUUGUAUUAAAUGGACUGAUCAACUUUAAACUUUCAAAAGAUUGUGUUAUGAAUUCAUGUCUUAAUACAAAUUGUUUGAAAAAAUAAAGUACCUUUUAAUCUCA